UCCAGUUGAUCCUGCUGGAGGGUACUGCUAUCGGAGUUCGACUAAGCCAUGCAAGUCUAACCCUAGGACUUCCUGGGGUGGCAGACUGCUGAGUAACACGUAGUCAAUCUACCCUAUAGACGGGGAUAACCUCGAGAAAUUGAGGACAAUACCCGAUAUUCCUCUUAUGCUGGAAUGCUUAGAGGUUUAAAUGGGCGGUGAAUUGGAGCCGUUCCGCUGUAGGACGAGACUGCGGGGGAUUAUGGUUGUUGGUAGGGUAAUGGCUUACCAAGCCGAUAAUCUCUAGGGGCCAUGAGAGUGGUGGCCCCCAGAAGGGCACUGAGACAAGGGCCCUAGCCCUACGGGGUGCAGCAGGCGCGAAACCUCUACAAUGCUGGAAACAGUGAUAGGGGGACUCCGAGUGGCGUCGGCUAAGCUGACGUCUUUUGCCAAGUGUAAAUAGCUUGGAGAAUAAGGGUGUGGGCAAGACUGGUGGCAGCCGCCGCGGUAACACCAGCGCCUCAAGUGGUACCCACGAAUACUGGGCCUAGAGCGUUCGUAGCCGGCCAAAUAAGUCUUCUGUGAAAUAGUAUGGCUUAACCAUACUGCGCGCAGGAGAUACUGUUUGACUUGGGAACGGGGGAGGUCAGGAGUACGCCCGGGGUAGGGGUAAAAUCCUUUGAGCCUGGGCGGACUACCAGUGGCGAAGGCGCCUGACCAAAACGUGUCCGACGGUGAGGAACGAAAGCUGGGGGAGCGAACGGGAUUAGAUACCCCGGUAGUCCCAGCCGUAAAUGAUGCAGACUGUGGUGUUGCUUCAGAGUUAAUCUGCAGCAGUGCUGUAGCGUAGGUGUUAAGUCUGCCGCCUGGGGAGUACGGCCGCAAGGUUGAAACUUAAAGGAAUUGGCGGGGGAGCACCACAAGGGGUGGAUGCUACGGUUUAAUUGGAUACAACGCCGUGAACUUCACCAAGGGCGACGGCAGAAUGAAGGUCAGACUAAAGAUCUUACCUAACAAGCCGAGAGGUGUUGCAUGGCCAUCGUCAGCUCGUGGCGUGAGUUGUCAGGUUAAGUCCUGCAACGAGCGAGACCCAUACCAUUAAUUGCUACUUUUACCUUUAGUAAGAGGCACCUUAAUGGGACUGCCCGCGUUAAGUGGGAGGAAGGAGUGGGCGACGGUAGGUCAGUAUGGCCCGAAUCCCUUGGGCUACACGCGGCAUACAAUGGCUGGAACAAUGGGUUGCUACUCCGAAAGGAGACGCUAAUCCCCUAAAUCCAGUCUUAGUUCGGAUUGAGGGUUGAAACUCACCCUCAUGAAGCUGGAAUCCCUAGUAAUCGCGUGUCAUCAUCGCGCGGUGAAUACGUCCCCGCUCCUUGCACACACCGCCCGUCAAGUCACCCAAAUGUGGUGUAGGUGAGGCUCCGGUUUCUGCCGGAUUCGAACCUAUGUUGCGUGAGGGGGGCUAAGUCGUAACAAGGUA
rnacentral:rRNA from 1 species